rnacentral:lncRNA from 1 species
GGAUAUAAAAUCAGACAUGUUACGGUGAGAUAUUAACGAUGGUAGAGUUGGCAAUCGACAAUUCGUUGAGAAAUUCCCACAGUCUUUAGUCCAAAUGUCACAGUCUUUAGUCCUAAUCACAAACACUCAAAUAAUGCCAAUCCUGAUGGAAAAAUUUCAUUUCUCUUCGAUGGUGCUCUUCUUCUUGCAGUACUUCGAUACACCGUCGGGAUGUUGGACGUCUUCUCGGGAAGUUGGUGGGGACGACCGAUUUUCUCCGUUAUUUCUUUCUGGCUCCUUCUCAUGUUCAACCUUUUUUGAGUUUGCCCCUUAUUU